AAACACCCUUAUAAUAAGGGCAAGACUUGCUUCAGUGGGGCUUUGGUGCUCACUGAGUCUGCCCCCUGAGUGUGUCCCU
rnacentral:pre_miRNA from 1 species